rnacentral:rRNA from 1 species
GACGGAGGUGGCAAGCGUUAUUCGGAUUUAUUGGGCGUAAAGGGCGCGUAGGCUGUUUGGUAAGUCUGAUGUGAAAACUCCAUCGCUCAACGAGGAGCCUGCAUCGGAUACUGCCAAUCUUGAGUACGGGAGAGGUGAGUGGAAUUCCAGGUGUAGCGGUGGAAUGCGUAGAUAUCUGGAGGAACACCGGUGGCGAAAGCGGCUCACUGGCCCGUUACUGACGCUGAGGCGCGAAAGCGUGGGGA